CGUACGGCAAAAACUAGUGCAAAGUAGCCAUAAUAUCUAUGGUAAACAGUCUGUCAUCGGUAUUUAAGUGUAUAAUCUAUGAUCGGUAUCAGAGUCAGGGCCAGGGCCCUGAAAGCCUGAAACUGCGGUAUAAUAGCCGGCAAACUUCUUGAGCAUUUGUUGACGUAGUGGGGUCAAGGUCAUUUGCUCACGAAGUUUGCCGGUUACUAUACCUACUUUAGGACAAAUGUUUUUUUAUAUGAAAACUAGCUACAUCUUGUAACUGAUGCCCCUAAACUUAUAUGUUGUUAAAGGUAAGGUCCUCAAUUAUUGUAUAACUAAACAAAGAAAAUAUUAUUAAUAAAUCAUACAAUUAUAUGUCAUAGACAAA